rnacentral:rRNA from 1 species
UCGUGGGGCAGCAGGUCUGUAGCAAUACAGAUGCUGGCGACCGGCAAACGGGUGCGGAACACGUACACAACCUUCCUUUAAGUGGGGAAUAGCCCGGGGAAACCCGGAUUAAUACCCCGUAACAUACAGAAGUGGCAUCACUUUUAUAUUAUAGCAGCAAUGCGCUUGAAGAUGGGUGUGCGGCUGAUUAGAUAGUUGGCGGGGUAACGGCCCACCAAGUCGACGAUCAGUAACUGGUGUGAGAGCACGACCAGUCACACGGGCACUGAGACACGGGCCCGACUCCUACGGGAGGCAGGAGUAAGGAAUAUUGGUCAAUGGACGCAAGUCUGAACCAGCCAUGCCGCGUGGAGGAUGAAGGUCCUCUGGAUUGUAAACUUCUUUUAUUUGGGAAGAAAUCUAUCUUUUCUUGGAUAGUUGACGGUACCAGAUGAAUAAGCACCGGCUAACUCCGUGCCAGCAGCCGCGGUAAUACGGAGGGUGCAAGCGUUAUCCGGAUUCACUGGGUUUAAAGGGUGCGUAGGUGGGCAGGUAAGUCAGUGGUGAAAUCUCCGGGCUUAACCCGGAAACUGCCAUUGAUACUAUCUGUCUUGAAUACCCUGGAGGUGAGCGGAAUAUGUCAUGUAGCGGUGAAAUGCUUAGAUAUGACAUAGAACACCCAUUGCGAAGGCAGCUCACUACGGGAAUAUUGACACUGAGGCACGAAAGCGUGGGGAUCAAACAGGAUUAGAUACCCUGGUAGUCCACGCCCUAAACGAUGGAUACUCGACAUCAGCGAUAAACUGUUGGUGUCUGAGCAAAAGCAUUAAGU